AGAGUUUGAUCAUGGCUCAGGACUAACGCUGGCGGCGUGCCUAACACAUGCAAGUCGAACGGGGUAGCAAUACCCAGUGGCAGACGGGUGAGUAACACGUGGUCAACCUACCUCUGUGUGGGGGAUAACUAGCCGAAAGGUUGGCUAAUACCGCAUAAGCCUACGGGGGAAAGCAGGGGAUCGCAAGACCUUGCGCCGAU
rnacentral:rRNA from 1 species